UAGACCUAAGUCUAAAUGGCUUAUACUAUGAAGGGUGGGUAAGUGACAUUGACAAAGUGCUACAGAUCCAUAGUCAAGAGACUUUAACUUGCUAUGGAACUCGACGUUCGUGUAAGACAUCUGUAUAUGUGAAAACAAAGAGAACAAGACAUACUAGCUUUGCAAAGCCAUUUUUCACAAUCAUCUGCUCAAGUGCAAUCUGUAAAUCACGAUACUGAGAUUUCUUGUGAAACAGGACCUACACCCGACGAUAUUCCUACAAGGGAACAUGAAAUGUCUUCAAGAAAAGCAAGAGAGAGAGAGCUCGAAUCACACUUAAAUCCCUGGAGACACUAAGUUAUUCAUGUUCUGACAGCAAGCUGUUGCUUGAUUUGGGGAUAAGCUACAAGUAUUGUUAGGAGAGUUUCGAGAGCAAUUACCACAAGAAAAAAACAGAAUUCAAAGCUUCGGAAUAGGGUUGGAAAGAAAGCUGAUUGGCUACGAAAGGUAAGCAUCCUUCAGCAGUAAGUAAAAACACAGUCUAUAAUUAUUAUAAUCAGUGUACUUUGUACAGGAGAAAAUUAAAGUCCCUACAACCACUGACACGAUGGCGGGCAAGAUUCCUGAUUCUAAUGAUAAGCGCCACAGCAGCACAGUUGGGAAGAAGCGGUCUAGAUGUGGAGACUGUGAGGGCUGUCACGAGGCCAAUGACUGUGGAACCUGUACACUUUGCCUAGACAAGCCCAAGUUUGGAGGUCCUGGGAGGAAAAAACAGUUUUGCGUCACCAAGAAAUGUGUACAGCUCGCAAAGACCAAAUGCAACUCAUCAAUAAAUGUGUUGGCUCACCCUUCUAUCAACAUGCAGGAUCAGCCCUCUGGACCUUACUCGUGGUCUCCUUAAUGGUCAAUUUAUCACUCCACCUGGUGUCAGCAU